CACCUGGGAAUCUGCCUGGUAGUGGGGGAUAACGUUCCGAAAGGAACGCUAAUACCGCAUACGUCCUACGGGAGAAAGCAGGGGAUCUUCGGACCUUGCGCUAUCAGAUGAGCCCAGGUCGGAUUAGCUAGUAGGUGAGGUAAUGGCUCACCUAGGCGACGAUCCGUAACUGGUCUGAGAGGAUGAUCAGUCACACUGGAACUGAGACACGGUCCAGACUCCUACGGGAGGCAGCAGUGGGGAAUAUUGGACAAUGGGCGCAAGCCUGAUCCAGCCAUGCCGCGUGUGUGAAGAAGGUCU
rnacentral:rRNA from 1 species